CAAUUUGCUUGAUUUUUUGAACUUCUGCAUUAGAAUUGCGUCCUGAUAAAAUUUAAACAAUAAAUUACAAGCUUAGUAUCAUUUUAUUCAAAAUUUGACCAAAAAUAAGUACAUUGAACACACAAAAUUAGCUAGUUAUCAAAUCCCCCUACUUAGCCGAUGCUUGUCCUCAAGCAUGUUGUGUAUUCCCAUACUAGAAUCAUUCAAAAAAAAUUCCAAAAUCAAGUCUCCUUCCACAACCAAGCAUAAUGAAAACAUUUUAAAUGAAGCAUGAAUAAGCAGUUGCUAGGUUUAACCAACAAGCAUUUUAUAAAAUUCUAACAUUAUGCAAAAAUCAACUACUUCACUAAAUUAAAGGUUAAUCAAACUUGCAAGGUAAUAGUUCUCAAUCAAUUUUUCAACAAGUUUAGGAUUUGGUUGAAUCUUUUUACAUAAAAUGAGAUGACAACCAAAGCACAUCACCCCGGUUACUCAAUUUGACACGUCUCUCAAACAGAUUAUUUUUCCUUACUCAUGGCAGCUCGGUUAGCGGAGUGUUGUAAGUUUCACUUCAUCACUCAAAUAUUUUUAUGCGAAAUGAGAUGAUAACCCAAGCAGCUCAUCCCGGUUACUCAAUUUGGUCACAUUUCUGAAAUCUUCACUCAUAACUAAGCCAUUGGCGGAGUGUGUAUAUAUAUUUUACUAUUUCAAUUGUUUUUUAUAGAAGAUAAAAUUACUUAUAUGAAACUUUAGUACUUUUAUUAAGUAAGUUUAAAGAGCUAACAAUUUUCAUGAAAUAUUGACUUAGCCACAAUAUUUUCAAUUCUACAAAACACUUAGCAGUCAAAUUAAGCAAUAAGCAGUUAUUCAUGAAUUACCCAAUUAUUUGAAUUAAAUAAGAAUAAGAUUUGAAUAUUCAAUUUCAAAAAAAUCAAAGAAUAAUCUCAUUAAAAGAAUUAACAUAUGUAAUGAAGAACAAGUAAUAACAUGGCAUGUACUACGAAUCCCCCUACUUAGCCCACACUUCCCUCAAUGUGCACUUUUAAAAGAAUAAUAAAGAGAAGGGCUACGUGUACUCCUCGUCUUAAUUUGGCGGAGGGUGGUGGAUGUGGUCAUUUUGUAAUAUAGUGAGGAUAUUUGAGAUUUGAGACCCUAUUGUGUUUAGGUGAGCCUCAAUACAGCUUAGUCAUUCCUCCAUAGCAGAAGGGGGCUGCUCCUCUUACUCCCUAAGAGUUUGAUUGUGUCGUCGACGAAAAAUUCUGUUGUUGUGAAUUGUUCAUGUACUUAGGGGAACAAAAUAAAAUGUAGUAGGGAUGCCAGUAAGUAAUCCCAUUGGAUCUAAACAAUAUUCAUCUAAACAAUCUAUAACAUAUGUACAUGAAAGAGAUAGGAAAUCAAUUCUGGAUGGAAAAAUUUGUAUGGCUAAAUGCGUGAUAUAUGGGUUGAAAAUGAGUGGGAUGUAAGCUCGUAAAACAUCAUGGAAAUCACACGCAAACAAAUAUCCUAAAUUGACCCUAUAAUCAGAGUGCAUACACCAUAAGAAUAAUAAUUUCGUCUUUGUUAGGGUAGACAAAGUUUUGAUAUGACUCGAAUAACUAAAAGCAAGAAAUCUAUGAAUGGAUCUUAGCGGCGGUUCAUGCACUAGUGAGGUUUUAGAGGUCUUAGAAUUGUACGGGUAGAAUAUAGAGUUAGUCAAAGCUGAAUAACCAACAUCAGCAACAAAUGCGCUAGGAAUGUCAAGUAAAGCAGUAUGGUAUGAAUCGGAUUGAGCAUCGUCAAGGUUAGCGAACCCAUGGCUAUGUUGAAAUCUGAAACUAACAUUUUAAAUGUAUUACCAAGCAAUCGAAAGCUGACAAUGUCCUGGGUUUCAAUAGCCCUCAUGACAUUUAGAUCGAAACUAAAUGUUGCAUAAAAAUUCAUAUACGAGUUCAUAGAAUGCAAUACAUUUAAUAUUCGCUUAAGAUGUCCAACCAAUAACAUUGAAAUAAUUAAAUACAUCAUCAUGCAAAUUAAUUAUAUCGAGGGUCAAAAGAGAUAUACUCUCACAGACUAGGAUUGGACGAUGUCGAAUUUCGUUAUAUCUAGUGCGAUGUUCUGGGAAUGUACAAUUCAGAAAUCCUCGAAGUCUCGCCUCCGACAGCUUUGUGUCGGUGCGCCCUCGAUGGUCGCACCUAUUAUAUCUAGGUGGCUGAUACUCUUCUUCGAACAAACUAUUUGGCGGACUCAACAUACUAGCAGCUUCAGUACUGCUACCUAGAGUUCAUACUGGCUCUUCACUUGGUUGGUAUGAUGGUUGCUGUCGAGCACAUACAAUGGCUAAUUUUGUUCGAUGCAUAGGGGAUUGUUCGUGUUGAUUCAAAGGUUUUGUGCAUCAGAGGUGUUGGUUCCAUUUGAACGUCCUGUUUGAUAUGUUAGCAAUGAAAAAAUCAGUUGGAAAUUCAGGGCGUCAAACCUUACUCCGUCAGAAGCGUCUGAACUAAUUCGUGGAUUUUUUACCUCGUCUGAUGUUGAGCUCCUUCGACAACGAUGUUGACUCAGUCCAAUAGCUUGUAUCGAUAACGGUGGAGACGGUUCUAAAUCUUCGUCAUCAAUGUCGAUGAUGGGCGAUGUUGAAAAUCAGUUGUGACCUCGAUUAAGAGAAGCCAGAAAAUUGUCGAUCGCUUUAUUUCUAGUUCGAACCAUGGCUAUAGUGGCUGUGGCCGGUGGUUGCGCUAGGCACAACGAUGGCUAAAGGCUUAGGGGAGCGGCGAUUUGCGGUAUUUUUAGGCAGUGUCGGUGUUGGUUUUUUGAAGCGACAAAACAACAUUUGAAGCAUUGUGGUGUAGGUUGAAGGGCGGCAUGUUGGUGUGGUUGUAUGUGGGGUUGAAGGGCAACGUCGUUUAUGGUUGUAAGUGCGGUGGUUUAGUGUUUUGAGGAUGAUGGGUGGUGAUAUUUGGGCAUGAAGAAGCGACGAUGGUUAGGGAGGUGAAGGGGGAGGAGAACGACAGCCAAAUGUGGUGGCGACGGCAGUGUGAAGAAAAUGAGGUUUUUAAUGAAAUUUUAGGGUUUAUUUUAGGUAUGAUGAAGGAAAAGAAGAAGACAUAAAGGAGAAAUAGGGGGCUUGUGUUUCGUGAAUCUUUUUUUUAACCAAUUUGGGUUUUUUUUUAAUUUGGGUCGUUUUGGGCUCUUUUUUCCUUUUCUCUCUUUGGGCCAGAUUUGGCUGUUUGGGCUCCUUUUUUAUUUAUUUGGGUUGGUUUUAGGUAUGGUAUGUGGCAAAG
rnacentral:lncRNA from 1 species